AACGUAGGUGGCGAGCGUUAUCCGGAUUUACUGGGCGUAAAGCGUGUGCAGGCGGGUGGUCAAGUGGUGUAUGAAAGCACUGCGCUCAACGCAGUGACCGUAGGCCAGACUGACUAUCUGGAGGGCGAGAGAGGGGCGUGGAAUUCCGGGUGUAGUGGUGAAAUGCGUAGAUAUCAAGAGGAACACCUGGAGGUGAAGACGGGUUGCGUGGGCCGACACGUGACGCUGAUGCGCGAAAGCCAGGGGAGCAAAGCGGG
rnacentral:rRNA from 1 species